rnacentral:rRNA from 1 species
GAUGAACGCUGGCGGCGUGCCUAAUACAUGCAAGUCGAGCGAACAGACGAGGAGCUUGCUCCUCUGACGUUAGCGGCGGACGGGUGAGUAACACGUGGAUAACCUACCUAUAAGACUGGGAUAACUUCGGGAAACCGGAGCUAAUACCGGAUAAUAUAUUGAACCGCAUGGUUCAAUAGUGAAAGACGGUUUUGCUGUCACUUAUAGAUGGAUCCGCGCCGCAUUAGCUAGUUGGUAAGGUAACGGCUUACCAAGGCAACGAUGCGUAGCCGACCUGAGAGGGUGAUCGGCCACACUGGAACUGAGACACGGGCCAGACUCCUACGGGAGGCAGCAGUAGGGAAUCUUCCGCAAUGGGCGAAAGCUUGACGGAGCAACGCCGCGUGAGUGAUGAAGGUCUGCGGAUCGUAAAACUCUGUUAUUAGGGAAGAACAAAUGUGUAAGUAACUAUGCACGUCUUGACGGUACCUAAUCAGAAAGCCACGGCUAACUACGU